rnacentral:sRNA from 1 species
UUACAGCAGACGAUAAUGAUAAAAGUUUGUGUGUGUGUGUUUGGAAAACACCAUUCAAACAGACUGGACUAACACUCCGGUAAGUGUUCGCAUCAAGAAAGUUACUCUGCUGUAUCGAGAAGUAGGCAUUAUGAAGAAUUCCGUCGACUAUUAAAAGAAUCAAGUUUACUUACAAAAUGAUGCAAGAUAAGCGGCUCUGUCUUAAUCUAUGUAAGGAUCGAGAGACGACUCCAUAAUGUCAGAGUGUACGGACGUGUUUUUAGU